ACUGUCAUGGUUCACCCUGUGCACAUGGUUUUUGUUUAAAUCAAGCCACUGGCUUCAGUUGUUUUUGUUAUCAUGGGUAUACCGGUUUGACGUGUAAUAACAGUAAGUAUUCAUCGUAAUGUGUGUUUUUAAUUAAACAAUCUAUUGACAUACAUUAUUUAAUUUGAUUUUUCGACAGAUCUAAAUAAAUGCAUAAAUUAAAAAGUAUAAAAAAGAGAUGUGGUACGAUUGCCAAUGAGACAACUGUCCACAAGGGACCAAAAUGAAAUGCCCCGAUAUGACAAUGUAAAACAAUUCAAACGAGAAAACUAACGGCCUUAUUUAUAGGUUAUAAGGUUUAUUUAGAGUCAGUAUAGUGAACAAAAAAGGACAUAACAUAUGCUCAACUGAGCUGUUAACCAACCGAAUGGCAUUUUUCAAAAACAUGAGACAUCAUUGGAUGAUAUUAUAUUCUGUGAGAGGAAGAAAGUAAGAAAUCGUGGGAAUUUGUAGCUAUAUUAAAGAUAACACAAAAAUAUCGAAAUGAUAUGUAAAUAAACUCAUCAUAAAUAGCAGGACCAAAUUUGUUAUACACGACACACGCACGUUUCGUCUACAAAAGACUCACCAGUGACGCUCGAAUCCAAAAAAUUUAAAAAGGCCAAAUAAAGUACGAAGUUGAAGAGCAUUGAGGACCAAAAUUCCUAAAAGUUUUGUCAAAUACAGCUAGGGUAAUCAAUGUGUUUACAUCUGAAAGGCACCGAAUCAGUAAAUUCUUCUAAGAAAUUGAAGUAAAGUUUAAAUUAACAAAUGAUUAAAUAAAAAGUUGACCAAUAAAUCGUUUAAAUGCGUUGGAUUGAAAUAUUAAUUGGUACGUUGAUACCAAUUUACAUAUUCCAUGUUUCGUUCAGAAAUAUAUGGUAAGUAACAGUUCUUAUAUUUGAUAAUAUGCAUUGUUAGUCUUUUGUGGAUAGUUGUCUCAUGGGCAAUUAUACCACAUCUUCUUUUUUUUAUUGUCCAUACUUAUAUCAUUCUACAUUUAGAAUUCAUAUCUGACAAAUAAAUAUAGUACUAGACAAAAUUCAAAAGAGGUUAUAAAACCUUGUUAUAUCACUAAUUAACAUGAAUUUAAGGUGUACAAGUAGACAAUACAACAAUCUGACUGAGAGAAAACGGAAACAAUAGUUCAUACCACCACAAUUUUGAUGAGACAUAAAACAUCUGUUAUAUUUGUACAGAUUUCAUAUUGGAGAAUUCAGAUUUUCUUUGUUGAUUAAAGCAAAAUUACAUAUUAUGAUCGUUACAUGUAGCCAGUUAAUUUGUAGUUAUGGGAUAUUUGUUUUAUUUUUUUCUCUUGCAGUUGAUUGUAAGUAUCAAUCUUGUUUUCUUUAUCAAUACCAGAAUAACGGUCAUAAUAUUUUUGAAAUUCUAUGAGCCUUUUAAAAUGUAAUGACAAGCUUAGUAAAUAUUGACUCUUAACACGCUGAUUACGUUUGUUGCUUGUAACUCCUGCCAUAUACACAUAAAUUUAAUUUUUAGUGAUCCCUUGGGUGACUUGUCUCCCUGUUUUUCCUUUAGAUUAUCAAGGAUACAAAUUUCACGGUAUACAAAUUGAUUUUAAAUGACGUUUAAACAGUGUGAUAACGACAAAAUACAAUUUGCUUCGUCUAUGCAACCAUUAAACGAGUUUGAAUAUAUAUAUAUAUACAAGUACACACCCGUGAUAUCGCGGGUCCGUGACUGACUUAAAGUAUAUAACUAUGCCUAAGCCUUAUUUUAGUAAUUGGUAUUGUCAUCUGAUAAAGUCAUGUCGAUUAUAAGAUACACAGUUUUUUUUUUUUGCUUUCAAAUCUUUCUGUUUGAACCCGUCGACCUGGAACUUAUCAAUUAUUGGUAAUAUUAAUUAUUUGGAAAACAAAAGGUCCUGGCUAUCCAGGAAUUGAGUAUUUUUUAAUCAACAGCAUUGUCCUAUAUUAGUUAUCUUAGAAAGUCUUGCUGAUUGCUGAAUAAAACUACAGUAGGGAACAAUUUGACAAUGAUAGAAUUUAGUAGUGUCAGCCCUUUGAUUAUGACCCGUGUAUAUAGCAAAAUCCUAAAUACACCGUUUGGUGGUGCGCCUGUCAAUGCGGAACGUACAGAUAAGGUAAUAGCUAACAGGUGAAUAUACUAUUGGUAUCGGUAUCGGAUUCGACCCGGAACUUGUUAAUUAUUGGCAAUAUUAAUUAUGUGGAAAACAAAAGGGUCUGGAGUGGUGUAAUUUUUAAUCUACACCAUUGUCCUAUAUUAGUUCUAUAUAGAGUUGAAUUCUUUGAUUUGUCGUUUUUACCCGAUGACGGCUGACAAAUUGGACCUCGUAAUUUUAGUAUUAUAGAUAUCACAUCAAGGAUUAUAGAAGGUUAAGGUGUUUAAGUUUUUUACUUUCAUUAGUUUAUAAAUUUUUUUAGGUUUUAAGAGGCAGCACGAUAAUGCAAAAACUGCUAGCAAAACUAGAUUAGAUUGUUUUCAGUAUGUAAAAUGUGUUUUCAAGAAAAUCUGUUGUUUUUGUUUUUAUAUCUUGGAUCUUUUUUUCGUAGAUUGCAUUAUCAAUCGUUGUGUUCAUGGAAAGUGUAUAAGUUCCUUACAUGGAUUUACAUGUCAAUGUGACAGAGGUUUUACUGGAAGUACAUGUAGCAUAGGUAUUAUUGGCUUUAGUGAUUUUUUAAAAUGAAUCAUAUUAAGUAAAUCAAGUUUCGUACAUUUCUAUACAGAACUUUAAUUUUGACCCAAAAAACGUUAUAUUUGUAUAGAUUGGAUAAUAAGGAAUUAUGAUUUUCUUCGGAUUUAUAAUUUCUGAGGAAAAAUAUUUUGACUAUUUUUAACAAUUGUUAGUGAUUCGAUUUAGAAAGCCUUUUUCUUAAUGAGUGCAAUAGAAGAUUAUGUUUGACAUUUAAAAGUAAUGUUUUAGCAACCAUUAAAAAACAUAUGAACAUUCGUUAUGAGUGAGGUUAUUUAGUAUAUAUUUGAUGUAAUAAGAAUGUUUCAACUUAUCACUACCCUAAAUGAUUAGUCGAAUUCAACAUGGAACAUGUGUAGACACUUGGACUCCUGAUGGAUACUGUAAAAAAUCAUUAUUUCAAAUAGAUAUUUAAUUAUCUUGUUAAAAGAAAAUAAUUCUUUGUUGAUAAAAUGAAAUUAACAUUUCAUGAUCAAGUAGCCAGUUAAUUUGUAGUUAUGGGAUAUUUAUUUUAUUUCAGCUAUUGCAGUUGAUCGUAAGUAUCAACCUUUUUGUCUUUAUCAAUACCAGAAUAACGGUCAUAAUAUUUUUGAAAUUCUAUGAGCCUUUUAACUUGUAAUGACAAGCUUAGUAAAUAUUGACUCUUAACACGCUGAUUACGUUUGUUGCUUGUAACUCCUGCCAUAUACACAUAAAUUUAAUUUUUAGAGAUCCCUUGGGUGACGUGUCUCUCUGUUUUUCCUUUAGAUUAUCAAGGAUACAAAUUGCACGGUAUACAAAUUGAUUUUAAAUGACGCUUAAACGGUCUAAUAGUGAGAGAAUACAAUUGGAUUCGUCUUUGCAAACCAUGAACCUAGUUUGAAUAUAUAAUUAUUUAUAUGACAUCAAGGAUUCUAGAAAGUGUAGGUUUUUUAAGUUUUUAAUUUUCAAAAGUUUGUACAUUUUUGUGUUGUGUUGCUACAUGAUGAUGAGAAAACAGCCAGAUCUCCAUCAGUGAGAGCCAUGUGUUUUCAUGAAAAUCCAUGAAAGGAGUAGGUCCUGUAAGGACCGAUUUUGGCCUCUAAUUUCGGGUUCAUUUUACGAAAGAUUUUGAGCACUUUUUAAACACUUAAGUGUCUAUUUUAUUUGAAUCAAUUAGUUUAUGUGAAAGAUUUUAACUGAUUUAGUCAUUAAAAACGACCCGAUUCAAGCUCAAAUAUGAAAAAUCUACCAAAUAUGCCGAAAAAUGAUGGUUUUUGUCAAAAAUGAAAGUGGCCGCAUCCGUGUUCAUCCUCAGCCUUUAUAUAUGUUAUGUAUUAUCAUAAAAUACAGCUUACAUUUCAAUAUUAAUGAUGAACACGAAUGCGGCCACUUUCGUUACACACAAAAACCGUCUAAAAUUUAACUAAAAUGCUAGAAUUGUGAAUAUUUUAGUAAUUUAGCAUGACUUAAUGGUGCUAGUACCCGAUAUAUGUGCAUUGUACUGUCAAAAACAGCCCAUAUUUAUGUAGCAGAAGCAUUCUACUGUCCAAUAAAUAACUAAAAGUUUACAUUUUAACAAUUUUGUAAAACUGCUAUAUUUUCUGGCCAAAAAGGGGUCCUACUGGACCUACUCCUUUGUUAUUUUUGUUUAUAAUAUUGAUCUUUUUAUGCGUAGAUUGCAGUAGAAACCCUUGUGUUCAUGGAAGCUGCACAAACUCUAUAAAUGGAUUUGCAUGUCGAUGUAACAGAGGUUAUACUGGAAGUACAUGUAACACAGGUAUUG
rnacentral:lncRNA from 1 species